rnacentral:snoRNA from 1 species
AUUUGAUGAUGUGGACAUUGAAUUUGUCCCAAAUCAUUCCCAAGCUUCGAAGAAUUCCUCCGUAUGCUUUUGUCUAAAAGUUUGGAUCUUGUUUCUUAACU